GAGGGACAGCCAGCACAAGGCAAAAAGUAGCAUCGUGUGGCCAGAAGCAUGAUGGAGUAGGGACGGGGAUGAUGGGAGAGCAAACUGGCCUUUUCAGCAGCAGUGAAUAUUUGGUUCGGCUUAGCCACUUGUAAAGGUGUGGUCCAAGGCUAUACCAAAACAACAGCUUUUAUUCUGCUAGUAGCUGUGGGAACAGACAUUUGAGGGAGACGGGUAGAGAGAUUAGACUGAAUAUCUUUGAGAAUUUCUUCUACUCUACUUUCUUCUACUUUGACCCAGGAUAUAUGUUUGGGGACAGAAUAACCCCUAUCAUGAAUCUCCUGUUAUUAUUUCAGUCCCUUUGUUCAGUUAUAUUGCAGUAGUGGCAUAUCAGAAGAAUUCAGCCCUGUUCCUGAUGGUGGCUCAUUACUAGGUCUUCAAAGAUUAAAAAAAAAACAAGAAAUAACAUUCAGAAGUUAGAUCAUCAGAUGAAAUAUAUUUAGGAAGUGCUGAAAUGCUUGAAAAUGAAAUUCUUGAUGUUGUUGUGAGCAUCCCUAAUUUAGUCCUCUUGUGUUGUGUGCAUUAUGGUACCUGAUUCAAUAGCAUGAUUAUCUUUCCUACAGCUUUCCUGCAGCUUCAUCUUUCAGUGAAUGGAAUUGAAAGAAACUCUUAUAAUGAAUGCCCUAGGAAAAACCAUGAAGAAAUUAAAAAUUCUGUGUAGACUUCAUAUGGUGGGCAAUAAUCCACUCCCUUGCAUGGAGUUCAGCUCUCAGUCCAGACCACCCACAUUAUCAAUGAAUGCUCUGAUGUUGCCCUUCAACCACCUGGAACUGGACAGCUGCCUUUUAAAACAGACUACACCCUCUUUUACUUCCUAAUGUCUCAGUAAACUCAGCUUUUCAUACUGCUAAAGCCCAUUUUACAAGAUUUAAACUGAAAGCUCUUUGAGGUUAAUCUCCUGCCAGUAUGGGAGGAUCCACUUCCCACUGCAUUCGCAUCACUAGGAGACUGAGGUUCAGAGAACUGCAGACCACCAUCAAGCCAAUUUCACAUGAGCUGAAAGAAAUGGAGGUAGGAGAAACACCAACUUGUAAUUUUCUGAAUUAAUCCUUCAUUUUGCCCUGCCUUAUCUGUUUUUUUUUUUCUUUUAGAUGAAAAACUCCAUGGGAUAAAGAACUGUCUACAUUUUUGGAUUUGUGCAGUAUCAAGUACACUAUCAUCAAAAGAAUUAUAAUUCAGUAGUGAUGAAACAAUGCCAGCUAUAAAGGCUUUAACUAGAGACAGAAAGAAAAGUACUUGAAAAUGUAUCAGCACCUGUUUUAAUGUGUUUUUAGGUAAAACUCAGUUCCUUUUACAGAUAGCGCUUUAGAAAAUGACAGCUAUUCAUAGACCUAAUAUUUUAAAUUUUUUCCUUUCAUUGUUCAUGCUGGAUGCUCAACAGUAUUUAAAAAUGAGUUAAUUAAUAAAAUGUGUGCAAAUACGUCUAAAAGCGUAACU
rnacentral:lncRNA from 1 species